rnacentral:lncRNA from 1 species
CGAAGCAGACCUGUGGGCAGAGGAGCGACUGGAGGCCUGCAGACAACACUAAACACACAAACACAAGACACCGGCAGCUGAGAGACCGCAUCGCCCCCCAGCUCCAGAACUGGCUCAGCAGCACGGGCAGCAGCGGGGAAGUGUAUGUGGCAGACGGAGAGGCCUGCGGAGGCUGGAGAACAGGAGACACAGACUCACAGUAGGACACACAGAAGGUGUGCUUCGGGACCGUGGUGAGAGUGAGCGCAGAGCUGAGUCCUGUUUUCAUCCUCCAGUUCGACUUCAGGAUCCUGUAAUUGUGUAGAGUUUGUUAAAUCAUCUCAAGUGAGGGCCAGUUAAACUGCAGACUGCAGGACAUCGUGCGUUGUGGGGACGUUGCUGUAACGUUGUGUGGAUGUUUUCUGUUUUUGAAGCUGAAACUUCUGUGCCAAAGCUGGAGUUGCUGAAUGCUCUUCAGCCGCAGCUCUGUGCAGUGUUGUGCCAGAAACUGAAGGAUCAUGUGACGCCAAACUCCUUCACUCGGCAGCCAUCUUUGAGACGUCUCUCUGCAGUUUGCUUGAUCGUUCUGUUUAAACGGGGAAACAUCAAACUCUCCAAAACUACUAGCCGAGCUCGACUGAACCCUAUUGUAGGAGUCAUCAAUAAAAUAAACAACCGAG